GUGAUUUCAAGGUAUUACAGCAACGAGCACAGAAAACCUGUCAGGGGAUUGGAGUGAAGCUAGGAACUUCGGGCAGAGUGCGCACUUCUGUGCGCCGAAGAGCUGAAAGUCGUUUUGAAAUGCAUGGGACCCACGUGCAGAACCGGCUGUAGGGAUCAGAAGAACAUCGCCCAUAUCUGAGUAGGCACUGGUUCGUGGACACAUUAGACUGACAAUAUUCGCUCAUUUUAAACAACAGAAGGAGAAGAUUAACAAGAGAAGAAUGGCAAGUGAAGAAGUACGCCUUGAGAGAUUGCGAAGGACGUUGCAUUCCUUAGCAACUCGAGUCCCAAAAGUAAUUCUGACACGAGUUGACUGGACAUUUCCUGCUUUGAAGAAUCAGGCUAGUGUUAAAUUAAGUGCAUCAUCGCACUUCAAUCAGGAUGUUAAUGCAGAGGAACUUCGUUGUGAACAGAGUGCAGGAUUGCCAGAGUUAUACGGAGGAGAGGACCUUCAUACGUGCGAGAUAUGCAAGAAAUCAUUCUCUCUUAAAUAUAAUCUAUCCUUACAUGCAAGUGGAAGGAGCAGAGAAAAAAUAUCUCGUUGUGAAAUGUGUGUCACGUUGUUAACCCCUAAGCGUAGUGAAGUAAAACGA